GUGAGUAGUUCAGAGUUUGAUCCUGGCUCAGGAUGAACGCUGGCGGCGUGCUUAACACAUGCAAGUCGAACGGACUUAUGUUGAAACCUAGUGAUAUAUAAGUUAGUGGCGGACGGGUGAGUAACGCGUGGAUAACCUGCCAUAUACAGGGGGAUAACACUUAGAAAUAGGUGCUAAUACCGCAUAAGCGCACAGCUUCGCAUGAAGCAGUGUGAAAAACUCCGGUGGUAUAUGAUGGAUCCGCGUCUGAUUAGCUGGUUGGCGGGGUAACGGCCCACCAAAGCGACGAUCAGUAGCCGGCCUGAGAGGGUGAACGGCCACAUUGGGACUGAGACACGGCCCAA
rnacentral:rRNA from 1 species